rnacentral:rRNA from 1 species
UAGGGAAUCUUCCACAAUGGACGAAAGUCUGAUGGAGCAACGCCGCGUGAGUGAAGAAGGGUUUCGGCUCGUAAAACACUGUUGUAAGAGAAGAAUGACAUUGAGAGUAACUGUUCAAUGUGUGACGGUAUCUUACCAGAAAGGAACGGCUAAAUACGUGCCAA